rnacentral:rRNA from 1 species
CCUACGGGAGGCAGCAGUGGGGGAUAUUGCACAAUGGGGGGAACCCUGAUGCAGCGACGCCGCGUGGGUGAAGGAGUGCUUCGGCAUGUAAAGCCCUAUCGGCAGGGAAGAAGCAAGACGGUACCUGACUAAGAAGCCCCGGCUAACUACGUGCCAGCAGCCGCGGUAAUACGUAGGGGGCGAGCGUUAUCCGGAUUAACUGGGUGUAAAGGGAGCGUAGACGGCCAUGCAAGCCAGGGGUGAAAGCCCGGGGCCCAACCCCGGGACUGCCCUUGGAACUGUGCGGCUAGAGUGCGGUAGGGGCAGGCGGAAUUCCUGGUGUAGCGGUGAAAUGCGUAGAUAUCAGGAGGAACACCGGCGGCGAAGGCGGCCUGCUGGACUGCGACUGACGUUGAGGCUCGAAAGCGUGGGGAGCGAACAGGAUUAGAUACCCUUGUAGUC